CUAGGGCGUUUGCAGUCCAUUAUCUUAAUGUUUGAGUAUGACUAAACGCCGCCGUUUCGAGGCCGUUCUGUCUGGUUCUCUUGCUCCUCCUCCUCUUCCAUCAUGUUGGAGAACAGCUACGGAGUAUUAAACGCGGCAAAUGCAGAAUUCUGUCUACGACUGUUAUGCUUCCUUUCCCAUAAAUCCAAAGUCCAUGGAAGUGCAUUCUCCUCAAUCCCCAAAUUUCCCUUUUGAUGAAAAGCGUGAUUUGUAUCAUGGGGUAGGGGAACAGUGGGUCUAUCGUUUUAUAAGGUGUGGAAUUCCUCUGCAGAUUAAGUAGGUUGAACUGUUCUUGAAAUGAAUGUUUGCAACACUAAUCCAAGUCCCCUUACACUGGAGGAUGGCUGCAAGCGGUUUGUGCACAGGCAAUGACCUUGGAAUUGUAGUUAUUUCCCUGUCAACUGGUGGUAGUAGCAUCAACCUGUGGUGUUUACACGCUAAAAUAAGUAGAAUUGAUCCAUGGAGCAUCCACAUUUUAGGCUUAGAUGAAAUUUUUGUGGAGGCUGUGAAAGGAAAGAAAGAAAAAGUCAAUUUUGGCAUGUGUGCUGUGUCUAUCUUCCAUUCAAGUCCUUUAACAGAUUUAAGGGUGGCUGUUAAUAUUUAAUGCCAAUCAGAUUUCCUAUCAAACUUCAGAUCCCGGCUUGUCUUUGGCCAUUAAUAACUAUAACUGUUGCUCUUAAGCAAGGAUGGAAGUUCACAGGUCUGGUUUGUCAUUCAUGUCUUAUCUGUCGUCAACUUAUCGCUGAUAAAACCUAGGUGGCAAUAGGAAUUUCUCCAAAACAUAAGCACACAAAUUUUGAUUAUUAGCGUAUCUUUGGCCAACAUUUUUCUGUCCCUUAAACUCUGAAAGGCAUGUUCAUAUGGCACAUAUUAUGCAUCACAUACAGCAGUGAAGUAAAGUAGUUGUGCAAAUGUUGUAGCUUGAGGAAACAUAUGAAACUGUCAACUAGCAUUUAAUUUAUCUAACGCAAUAAUUGAAGAGACUACCAACUUCUUCAAUAUUGUUUGAGAGAGUGCUGAUUAUCAUGUUAUGGCAUCUCCUAAUGUUUUUUGUGAUGUAAACUAGUUAAUUAAAAUCAGAUAAAGAAAAGCCUACAGCCUAUGUAGUCUAAAUCAGUUCAUCCUUGAAAAGGCUAGGCUCCUUCUUCUUUCCAUUUCAUGUUAUUCUUGCCUUCCUUUGAGAUUAGCUUUGGAUAUAGAAUUGAUCUGAAAUUUUUCUAGAAUAUCUUUUCCAUGAGACCACUAAAUUUUGUCAAUUUUCUGGUCAUGUCUGGUACAAUGAAGAUACAUGACUGAGUACCAUCAAAUUUGCUGAUGCAAAAUAGAGGAACUUGAAAGUUAUCGACAGAAUGCCAUCAAAGACUUCAGUUGACUGGAAAGUUUUAGCCCCCUUCCAGUUGUCUUUUAAUGGAGUUAAAUGUUGCAAAUUGGUGCAUCUCGUGAUAUGUAAGCAUAUGUUUAACAUAUUUAUGUAGUUUAUAAAGGAGUAUGUUUGGGCAUUUGCUACCUCAUUGGGUUAAAUGUGAGCAAAUAUAUGCCAUGAUAUCAAUUUUCUUGCAUGGUGUGGGCAAUAUAUGAUCUGGGCAUGGUUUUCACAUUUCAGUCCUGUCGAUCUUCAGUUCAAUCCCCCUUCCAGUUGUCUUGUAAUGGAGUUAAAUGUUGCAAAUUGGCGCAUCUCGUGAUAUUUUCAUGCAGAGGACCUUAGGGUUUGGAAGAGAGGGAAGGGUAUUAACCACACUGGCACUCGAAAAAGAGAUAGCGUUCCAUCAAGAACGAAAUGGAAGCUGGGAACACUUCAACCGCUGUUGUGCAGGAGAAUUCUGUGCUGAACAGAGUCCAUUCCAACAUUGACCGGUUGCCGGAUGAUAUCCUCAUUACCAUCUUAUCACUUUUGACAGUUGAAGAAGCGGCAGCAACUAGUAUCCUUUCUCGCAGAUGGAGAUAUUUGUGGAUGCACACUACUGGGUGUUGGAGCUUUGAUUUUUCUGAGGAGGUCAAGGUGAUGGUUGAUAAAAUGGGCGUUAGUACGGUUAUGGACAUACUUCUGCAUCAUUCAUUUGGAAGGUUGUGUUUGGUUACUAAUGUCACAGCUUUACAUCGCGGCCCAUAUCUUAACGAAUUCAGGAUAGUUGCUUACCUGGAUUCAAAAACUUGAAUUGGACUUCAAGAACUGCUUCGUAUUCCGUCCAUUGAAAAGAUAUAGUUUUCCCAAUCUUGAGGAAUUCAAACUUUUGUUAGCAGCAGGUGUUAUGAAAUUCCUCCAGUGCCAGCAUCAUCUGAGGGGGGUAAAACUCGGGGUUCAUCAUUUAAGGGGCUUUGGUUGUCUAAGAGCCCUUUGUUUGGUAUGUUGAUAUCUCUGAAGAGGUUCUGGACUGUAUCUUCUCCAACUGUACAUCACUUGAAAGUAUAUCUCUAGAAGAAUCAUAUGAACUAGUGAAUCUAAAAGUUCACGGCCUUCAUUUGAGGUAUUUUGAGAUGAUAAACUGGUUUAACCUGAAAUCUCUGGAGAUAUCUGCAGCGAAUCUUGAGUUGUUUACUUAUUUAGGACCCAAUAUAGAUGUUCCUUUCGGAAGUGGUCCUCAUUGCCUUUUGGAAGCAACAAUCGGAGGAUCAUUUGGUGAAUCAUUUGUUUUUGGAUCUGCAAAGCAUUUGGUUUAUAUUUCUCAACUGGAAACUCUUACCUUCGAUGUCUCUUUUGAGGUUAAUUUGAGAAUUUCCAGCUUUCCAAACGUUUUCUGAGAAAUGAUUAAUCUCAAGCAUUUGGAACUGAAAGUGAGGCUUUCUGGUUCACAAAGCCUUCUGCCUUAUACAACUUGUAUAAAGGCCUGUCCUUUCUUGUCUACAUUCAGGAUAAAGUACUUCCUGCAGUGGCCUUUCACUCUGCAUCAGUCACUCAUUGGGGUACAUCCAUAUCAUACGAGAAGGUCUGAAGCUAAUAGAUAUGCUCAUCAACACCUUGAAGUGGUGGAGUUGAUUGGAUUUCAUGGCUGUGCAAACGAACUUAACCUUGCCACCCGCUUGCUUCAGAUUGCUGUGAACCUCAAGAGAAUGGUUUACAGUUUCAUUCUGAAAAACAAAAAGAAGAUCGCUCGUCCAGGAAGCUUGUUGCAAGGUUUCGAAAAACUUUACCUCCAGCAGUUGAGCUGGUGGUUUGCUGAAUCAUGGGGGACCUUUUCAGUCACAAACUUGGGAACCAAAAACAUUUGUUAUAUUAAUAAUGCUGAUACAUUAGAAGUGUAUUGCAGGCAACUAUGUUAUGUUCUAAUUACUAUUUGACUGUAAUAUGUUUGCUAAUGAUGAGAUGAAACAUAGAGACUCUUGGAGUUUAUACUGUUUAGCAAUGCUUGAAUGGGUGAUUAUGAAUGCUCAAUAUCAAUGUAGGGUGGGGAUUGUCUUCGAUUCCUCAUAAGAUAGUACAGGAAAUCGGUAAGUUGGAAUAUGAUCAAACAAAUGCCGUAUUUCUUGGUUUCUUUGUUGCUAUCUAUGAAGGAAGAAUCUGUUAUAGCGCUUGGAUUUAAAUGGACAACUAGAAAGAAUGGUAGUCUACAUUAUUUAA